rnacentral:rRNA from 1 species
CAGUAGCCGCGGGAAUACGGAGGGUGCAAGCGUUAAUCGGAAUUACUGGGCGUAAAGCGCACGCAGGCGGUCUGACAAGUCAGAUGUGAAAUCCCCGGGCUUAACCUGGGAACUGCAUUUGAAACUGUCAGGCUGGAGUCUUGUAGAGGGGGGUGGAAUUCCAGGUGUAGCGGUGAAAUGCGUAGAGAUCUGGAGGAAUACCGGUGGCGAAGGCGGCCCCCUGGACAAAGACUGACGCUCAGGUGCGAAAGCGUGGGGAGCAAACAGGAUUAGAGACCCCAGUAGUCCCUGUCUCUUAUAA